GUUGUUGUGGCCGAGAGGUUAAGGCGAUGGACUCGAAAUCCAUUGGGGUCUCCCCGCGCAGGUUCGAGUCCUGCCAGCAACG
rfam:Gasterosteus aculeatus cont1.015189, whole genome shotgun sequence.